rnacentral:rRNA from 1 species
UUAGGUUAAGUUAUGAAGGGCGCAUGGUGAAUGCCUUGGUACUAGGAGCCGAUGAAGGACGGGACUAACACCGAUAUGCUUCGGGGAGCGGUAAGUACGCUUUGAUCCGGAGAUUUCCGAAUGGGGCAACCCAAUCAGCUUAGUCGCUGAUUACUUGACUAGUGAAUACAUAGCUAGCAAGAGGUAGACGCAGUGAACUGAAACAUCUUAGUAGCUGCAGGAAGAGAAAGAAACAUCGAUUCCCUGAGUAGCGGCGAGCGAAAAGGGAAGAGCCCAAACCAACAAGCUUGCUUGUUGGGGUUGUAGGACUGAACAUUAGAGUUACCAAAGUGCGACGUAGUCGCAACAGUUGGGAAGCUGUGCCAUAGAGGGUGAAAGCCCCGUAGACGAAACGUCACACUCUCUGUUCAGGAUCCUGAGUACGGCGGGACACGUGAAACCCCGUCGGAACCCGCGAGGACCAUCUCGCAAGGCUAAAUACUCCCUAGUGACCGAUAGUGAACCAGUACCGUGAGGGAAAGGUGAAAAGCACCCCGGAAGGGGAGUGAAAUAGUUCCUGAAACCAUGUGCCUACAAGCUGUCGAAGCCCGUUAAUGGGUGACGGCGUGCCUCUUGCAGAAUGAACCGGCGAGUUACGAUUGCAUGCAAGGUUAAGGUGGAAAAACCGGAGCCGUAGCGAAAGCGAGUCUUAAAUGGGCGUAAGAAGUAUGUAGUUGUAGACCCGAAACCAGGUGACCUACCCAUGUCCAGGUUGAAGGUGCGGUAAAGCGCACUGGAGGACCGAACCCGUGUCAGUUGAAAAUGGCUGGGAUGAGGUGUGGGUAGCGGUGAAAUUCCAAACGAACUUGGAGAUAGCUGGUUCUCUCCGAAAUCUCUUUAGGGGGAGCCUUGAGGUAAAGAAUCGUGGAGGUAGAGCUACUGUUUGGACAAGGGGCCCGUCAUGGGUUACCAACUUCAGAUAAACUCCGAAUGCCAUCGAUUUAUACUCAGGAGUCAGACGAUGAGUGAUAAGAUCCACCGUCGAAAGGGGAACAGCCCAGAUCACCAGUUAAGGUCCCUAAAUAUAUGCUAAGUGGAAAAGGAUGUGGAGUUGCAUAGACAACUAGGAUGUUGGCUUAGAAGCAGCCACCAUUUAAAGAGUGCGUAAUAGCUCACUAGUCGAGUGAUUCUGCGCCGAAAAUGUACCGGGGCUAAGCAUAUUACCGAAACUGUGGAUGUGCACUAUGUGCACGUGAUAGGAGAGCGUUCUAAGGGCGGCGAAGUCAGACUGUGAGGACUGGUGGAGCGCUUAGAAGUGAGAAUGCCGGUAUGAGUAGCGAAAGACAGGUGAGAAUCCUGUCCACCGA